CCUACGGGAGGCAGCAGUGGGGAAUAUUGCACAAUGGGCGAAAGCCUGAUGCAGCGACGCCGCGUGAGGGAUGAAGGUCUUCGGAUCGUAAACCUCUGUCAGCAGGGAAGAACGGUCACUGUGCUAAUCAGCAGGGAAUUGACGGUACCUGCAAAGGAAGCACCGGCUAACUCCGUGCCAGCAGCCGCGGUAAUACGGAGGGUGCGAGCGUUAAGCGGAAUUACUGGGCGUAAAGCGCUCGGAGGCGGUAGGGCAAGUCAAGGGUGAAAUCCCCGGGCUCAACGUGGGAACGGCACUGGAAACGGGCAGGCUAGAGUGUUGGAGGGGUAGGUGGAAUUCCGGGUGUAGCGGUGAAAUGCGUAGAGAUCUGGAGGAACACCAGUGGCGAAGGCGACCAUCUGGACCAUAACUGACGCUGAGGAGCGAAAGCGUGGGGAGCAAACAGGAUUAGAUACCCCUGUAGUC
rnacentral:rRNA from 1 species